AAUACCCCAUGUGGCUACAGAUCUUAUGGUCUGUAUAGAAAGGGGGGUCGCAAGACUCUCGCCAUAAGAUGAGCCUGCGUCCGAUUAGCUAGUUGGUGAGGUAAGGCUCACCAAGGCGACGAUCGGUAGCUGAUUUGAGAGAAUGAUCAGCCAACUGGAACUGACACACGGGCCAGACUCCUACGGGAGGCAGCAGUGGGGAUAUUGCACAAUGGGGGAAACCCUGAUGCAGCGACGCCGCGUGGUGAUGAAGGCCUUCGGGUUGUAAAGCCCUGUCGGCUGGGAACAAGGGAUCGUGCUCAUACCACGAAUGCUUGAGUGGACCAGCAAAGGAAGCACCGGUAACCCUGUGCCAGCAGCCGCGGGAAUACAGGGGGGGCUAGCGGUGGUCGACUGGGCGUAAAGGGCGCCGUA
rnacentral:rRNA from 1 species